AGAAUCAACGCUGGCGGCGUGCCUAACACAUGCAAGUCGCACGAGAAAGGGUAGCAAUACCUGAGUAAAGUGGCGCACGGGUGAGUAACACGUGAAUUAUCUACCUCCGAGUGGGAAAUAACUGAGAGAAAUCUUAGCUAAUACCGCAUAACACUUACGAGUCAAAGCAGCAAUGCGCUUGGAGAGGAGUUCGCGGCAGAUUAGUUAGUUGGCGGGGUAAUGGCCCACCAAGACGAUGAUCUGUA
rnacentral:rRNA from 1 species